rnacentral:rRNA from 1 species
AAGCAGCGGAGCGUGUGGUUUAAUUCGAUGUUACACGAAGACCUUACCAGGGUUUGACAUGCAAGUGGUAGGAAGCCGAAAGGUGACCGACCCUUCGGGGAGCUUGCACAGGUGCUGCAUGGCUGUCGUCAGUUCGUGUCGUGAGAUGUUCGGUUAAGUCCGCUAACGAGCGCAACCCUCGCUGUGUGUUAUAUGUGUCACACGGGACUGCCGGUCUUAAGCCGGAGGAAGGUGGGGAUGAUGUCAAGUCAGCAUGGCCUUUAUAUCCUGGGCUGCACACACGCUACAAUGGCCAACACAAUAGGUUGCUAAGCCGCGAGGUGGCGCCAAUCCAUAAAGUUGGUCUCAGUUCAGAUUGUAGGCUGCAACCCGCCUGCAUGAAGAUGGAGUUGCUAGUAACCGCAGGUCAGCUAUACUGCGGUGAAUACGUUCCCGGGGCUU